GAUGAACGCUGGCGGCGUGCUUAACACAUGCAAGUCGAACGGGAAAUACUUUAUUGAAACUUCGGUCGAUUUAAUUUAUUUCUAGUGGCGGACGGGUGAGUAACGCGUGGGUAACCUGCCUUAUACUGGGGGAUAACAGCCAGAAAUGGCUGCUAAUACCGCAUAAGCGCACAGAACCGCAUGGUUCCGUGUGAAAAACUCCGGUGGUAUAAGAUGGACCCGCGUUGGAUUAGCUAGUUGGCAGGGCAGCGGCCUACCAAGGCGACGAUCCAUAGCCGGCCUGAGAGGGUGAACGGCCACAUUGGGACUGAGACACGGCCCAGACUCCUACGGGAGGCAGCAGUGGGGAAUAUUGCACAAUGGGGGAAACCCUGAUGCAGCGACGCCGCGUGAAGGAAGAAGUAUCUCGGUAUGUAAACUUCUAUCAGCAGGGAAGAUAAUGACGGUACCUGACUAAGAAGCCCCGGNUAACUACGUG
rnacentral:rRNA from 1 species